rnacentral:rRNA from 1 species
UACGUAGGGUGCAAGCGUUAAUCGGAAUUACUGGGCGUAAGGCGUGCGCAGGCGGUUAUGUAAGACAGGUGUGAAAUCCCCGGGCUUAACCUGGGAACUGCAUUUGUGACUGCAUCGCUGGAGUGCGGCAGAGGGGGAUGGAAUUCCGCGUGUAGCAGUGAAAUGCGUAGAUAUGCGGAGGAACACCGAUGGCGAAGGCAAUCCCCUGGGCCUGCACUGACGCUGAGGAGCGAAAGCGUGGGGAGCGAACAGG